AGUUGACCUCGGAUCAGGUAGGAAUACCCGCUGAAUGUUAGCUCCGCAUGACGGAAAGGAAAAGAAAA
rnacentral:rRNA from 1 species